GGUUAAGUGGGACCCAGUGGGCUUUAUGCAAGAGGGAAUGCUGAAAAAGCUCCAGUGCUUCUGCACAUACUUGUGUGAAAUUCUCCCUACCUGAGGUCUCCUGAGGCAAGCCCAGGGAGGCCAGAGACUUGGGCGGCAUAAAGGGCAAAAGUACACUUAAUCUUGAUUUUCAGUGGGGAUGCAGGCCUUGCUAACGUGGCUUCAGGAUCUUCUGACUUCCUAGGUUUUAAGCAAGAGGUGCCAGAAAAGUUACCACAGAGAAGACCACCCUGUGGCAGUGAAGUAUUAGCAAAGUUACUUCAACCCUUCGAUGUUGGCUUUUCCAGUCACCGCACACCAGAAUUCACCAAGUGUUGGCUGGCUCACCCAUUAGCAACGAACACAAGCUGGGCUUAGACUGCCCUGAGAUGUUAGUUUUACCCU
rnacentral:ncRNA from 1 species